AAUAUCAAAGGUGAGCCAGUACAGGAUGGACCCGCGUCUGAUUAGCUAGUUGGUAAGGUAACGGCUUACCAAGGCGACGAUCAGUAGCCGACCUGAGAGGGUGAUCGGCCACAUUGGAACUGAGACACGGUCCAAACUCCUACGGGAGGCAGCAGUGGGGAAUAUUGCACAAUGGGCGAAAGCCUGAUGCAGCAACGCCGCGUGAGUGAUGAAGGCCUUCGGGUCGUAAAACGCUGUCCUCAAGGAAGAUAAUGACGGUACUUGAGGAGGAAGCCCCGGCUAACUACGUGCCAGCAGCCGCGGUAAUACGGAGGGGGCUAGCGUUAUCCGGAUU
rnacentral:rRNA from 1 species